rnacentral:rRNA from 1 species
AAUGAACGUUGGCGGCGUGGAUUAGGCAUGCAAGUCGAGCGAGAAGAGUUUUGAAGCUUGCUUUAGAACUCGGAAAGCGGCGAAAGGGAGAGUAACGCGUAGUUAUGUACCCAGGGGCUCGGAUUAGCCACGGGAAACUGGGGAUAAUGCCGAAUAACAUCUCCGGCUCAAAGGUGUCAUUCCGCCCUUGCAGCAGACUGCGUCCUACUAGCUAGUUGGCUGGGUAAUGGCCCACCAAGGCAACAAUGGGUAGCGGGUGUGAGAGCAUGACCCGUCUCACUGGGACUGAGACCCUGCCCAGACACCUACGGGUGGCUGCAGUCGAGAAUCUUCGGCAAUGGGCGAAAGCCUGACCGAGCGACGCCGCGUGCGGGAUGAAGGCCCUCGGGUUGUAAACCGCUGUCGUAGGGGAGGAAGGCUCCCUGAAGAACGGGGUUUGACCUAUCCUAGGAGGAAGUACGGGCUAAGUUCGUGCCAGCAGCCGCGGUAAGAC